rnacentral:rRNA from 1 species
CCUAGCUGUGUUGGCUUUCUAACCCGCACCACUUAUCGUGGUGGGAGACAGUGUCAGGCGGGCAGUUUGACUGGGGCGGUCGCCUCCUAAAAGGGAACGGAGGCGCUCAAAGGUUCCCUCAGAAUGGUUGGAAAUCAUUCAUAGAGUGUAAAGGCAUAAGGGAGCUUGACUGCGAGACCUACAAGUCGAGCAGGGUCGAAAGACGGACUUAGUGAUCCGGUG